AUUGAACGCUGGCGGCAGGCCUAACACAUGCAAGUCGAACGGUAGCACAGAGAGCUUGCUCUCGGGUGACGAGUGGCGGACGGGUGAGUAAUGUCUGGGAAACUGCCUGAUGGAGGGGGAUAACUACUGGAAACGGUAGCUAAUACCGCAUAAUGUCGCAAGACCAAAGAGGGGGACCUUCGGGCCUCUUGCCAUCGGAUGUGCCCAGAUGGGAUUAGCUAGUAGGUGGGGUAAUGGCUCACCUAGGCGACGAUCCCUAGCUGGUCUGAGAGGAUGACCAGCCACACUGGAACUGAGACACGGUCCAGACUCCUACGGGAGGCAGCAGUGGGGAAUAUUGCACAAUGGGCGCAAGCCUGAUGCAGCCAUGCCGCGUGUAUGAAGAAGGCCUUCGGGUUGUAAAGUACUUUCAGCGGGGAGGAAGGGGUUGAGUUUAAUACGCUCAAUCAUUGGCGUUACCCGCAGAAGAAGCACCGGCUAACUCCGUGCCAGCAGCCGCAGUAACAC
rnacentral:rRNA from 1 species